rnacentral:rRNA from 1 species
GCCAAAACUCUAGCUCCCCAUAAAUCCUAUGCACCUUCCCCCUUAACUCAUUCUAACUAAAACAUUCUUACAUUAUAGUAAAGGAGAUUGAAAAAUUUACCGAAGCAAUAAACCUAGUACCGCAAGGGAAAGAUGAAAUAUUAAUGAAAAUAUUUAAGCAAAAAAAAGUAGAGUCCAACUCUCGUACCUUUUGCAUCAUGGUUCAACUAGUCUAAUCAAGCAAAAAGCAUUACAGUUUGACCCCCCGAAACUAAGCGAGCUACUUCAGGGCAGCUUAAUGAGCCAACCCGUCUCUGUUGCAAAAGAGUGGGAAGACCCCUAAGUAGAGGUGAUAUAUCUAACGAGCUUAGUGAUAGCUGGUUACUCGGGAAAAGGAUCUUAGUCCAACCUAAAGUCUUACUAUUACCUCAAAAACACCUCUUGACUUUAGAGCAAUUCAAAUAGGGUACAGCCUAUUUGAAACAGGAUACAACCUAAUUUGACGGGUAAAAUUUUAUAUUGGCCCCCCAGUAGGCCUAAGAGCAGCCAUCUUCUUAAAAGCGUCACAGCUUAGCCCCCCUUAAAAUCCCAAUUCCCCAUAUUAACUUAAACCCUCUAACAAUACCGAGUAAUCCUAUACCUUUAUAGAAAAUUUUAUGUUGAAACUAGUAACAAGAAUAUAAACCUUCUCUUAAAUGCAAGCAUAAAUCAGAAAGGAUAAACCACUGAUAAUUAACGCCCCUGAAUACAUAUUAGUAACCCCACAAGAGAACCCUAAUAUACUUCACGUUAACCUGACACAAGAGCAUCUCAAGAAAGAUUAAAAGAAAGAGAAGGAACUCGGCAAAUAUUAACCCCGCCUGUUUACCAAAAACAUCGCCUCUUGACUAAAAAUAAGAGGUCCAGCCUGCCCAGUGACAAAUGUUCAACGGCCGCGGUAUCCUAACCGUGCAAAGGUAGCGUAAGCAC